GAAUUUGGUAAAAACCCGUUAGGCAGGUUUUCGUUGCUUGGUCUUUUUUUAUUUGUUUAUUGACAGAAUUUUGUAACUAGGUUGCCGUGCGCGAAUAGCUAUUAACUUAUUUGCUCUAUGUAGUAAUCCCGAAAUUGAGAUACAAUACUUGAUUAGGUUGGCAUAUUUCACCACUCAUAAUUUUAUGGUACUUGAUGUAGGGAAAUCAUUCAAGAAGAUCAACUCAUACAAUGCUUAUAAAUCCCGUAACCAACAGAACAGGUAAACGGCCUGUGUUGCGCAACUAUAGUGGCGGAGGGAUGAUUUCUUCGAAUAAAAGCUGCGAUUUGAGUAUUUACGCUCCCGCAAAACAAUGUCUUGAGCGUAUUGUAUUUUGUCGUAGUGACCAAGUACUAAUUUCAGGAUUUUGGAUAGGGCCAGAUAUAGAAGAUGGAUGGGGUUUUGUAGAAGCAUCUUUAUGUCGAAUAUAUUGAUCCUCGUAAUUUUUAUUUUUUAC